rnacentral:tRNA from 1 species
GCGCCCAUAGCUCAACUGGACAGAGCACUGGUCUACGGAACCAGAGGUUGCAGGUUCGAAUCCUGCUGGGCGUG